AGAGUUCAAGAGUACGUGAAACCGUUUAGGGGUAAACCUGAGAAAUCCGAAAGGUCGAAGGGAGAAAUUCAUUCGCGUCUCGCCGUCGGCGUGAGAUGGUCGUGUGACGGAGGACGUUCGCGUUUUCCGCGCCUUCCGUUUUUCGAUCCGAUAGCGAACGCGUGCACUUUUCUCCUGGUAGGACGUCGCGAUCCGUUGGGUGUCGGUCUACGGCUCGCAGUGGAGCCCGGACACACGGCUUGCCGUCGCGUCCGGACCUGCGUGUCCCGGCUGACUCGCUCGACGGUAUAAGAAAGGUUUAAGGCCGCUCUUGGAGCGUUCGGCUCGUCGCAAGCGCGCCAGAUGUGUCGGCGAUCGGACCUAGUGCCGGUUCUGACCUCUGGUGACUGUUGGCGGCGAAGUUCUCGAACAGACCUUUGACCGAUCUGCGACGCUAUAGCUUUGGAUACUUUCAGGACCCGUCUUGAAACACGGAACC
rnacentral:rRNA from 1 species